AUUCACCGAAAGUUUGCGAUGUUUUGCAUAUAAUUGAGAAGAUUGCCCACUGUCCAGUAGAUCCUCUCAAGCGAUACGUUAAGCCGUCAUGUAAAGAACAGCCUCAGGAUGAAACAGCGUUGAAAGACAUCAAAGAGG